GCCCCGAACAUCACCGCAGCCAACCCGAACAGCCCCGCACAACCCCGAAAUUCUCGAUUUAAAUCUUGUAGAUAUAUUUGCAACCUAGACAUGGUUAUGGUUUCUCUUUGGCAUUCUGCCGAGAUGAGGAAAGAAUCAAAACGCCAAAGAUAGGAGAUAAUAACCCCGAGAAUUUUGAGAUACAUUUGCAGCAUUGGUUGCCUUGGUUCGGUUUUACUUUAUUUACUUCGAUUUUGAGUUUCGAUUGGUGCAACAAAGUGAUAUGUUCUAGCAGAUUACGGAGGAGGAAAAACUCAUCGCGGAGGAGGAAAAUCUCUACAUAAUAUUUAAUUAAACUAGUUAAUUUACAGUCCAUUGUAUUUUAUUUUAAAUUGUGCAGUCCACGAUUUAUU